rnacentral:rRNA from 1 species
GACGUAGGGCGCGAGCGUUGUCCGGAAUUAUUGGGCGUAAAGAGCUUGUAGGCGGUCUGUCGCGUCUGCUGUGAAAAUCCGGGGCUCAACCCCGGACUUGCAGUGGGUACGGGCAGACUAGAGUGUGGUAGGGGAGACUGGAAUUCCUGGUGUAGCGGUGGAAUGCGCAGAUAUCAGGAGGAACACCGGUGGCGAAGGCGGGAUCGUGGGCCAGUACUGACGCUGAGGAACGAAAGCGUGGGGAGCAAACAGG